AACGAACGCUGGCGGCGUGCUUAACACAUGCAAGUCGAACGAGAAGUCUGUAGCAAUACAGAUUGUAAAGUGGCGCACGGGUGAGUAACACGUGGGUAAUCUGCCCUUGAGUUUGGGAUAACCCCGCGAAAGCGGGGCUAAUACCGAAUAAGACCACGGGGACCAAAGUCCCUGAGGUAAAAGAUGGCCUCUAUUUAUAAGCUAUCACUUUAGGAUGAGCCCGCGGCCCAUUAGCUAGUUGGCAGGGUAACGGCCUACCAAGGCUAUGAUGGGUAGCUGGUCUGAGAGGACGAUCAGCCACACUGGAACUGAGACACGGUCCAGACUCCUACGGGAGGCAGCAGUGGGGAAUAUUGCGCAAUGGGCGAAAGCCUGACGCAGCAACGCCGCGUGGGGGAUGAAGGUUUUCGGAUUGUAAACCCCCUUCGACCGGAACGAAUCUCCUCUUGGUAAAUAAUCAGGGGGAUCGACGGUACCGGGAGAAGAAGCCACGGCUAACUCUGUGCCAGCCGCCGCGGUAAAAC
rnacentral:rRNA from 1 species